rnacentral:pre_miRNA from 1 species
UCUUAUGGAUAAGCAAAGAAGUGGUUUCCUGAGAUGGAAUCUACUCCUGGUGAAAAUGCUGAGAA